CCGGACCCCACUCCAGACCCGGAGCCUGACCCCCGCCCAUUCCCCGACCCCGACCCGGAACCGUGAGCCCGACCCGCACCAGGACUGCGACCCCCGCAGAAGUUGCUGUAAAUUCUGAGGAGCUUUGAUGGCCAGCUUUGGCUAACGGAGGCAUUUUGCUCUUGCAGUGCGUUAAACCAUCUACGGAUAACAUAUAGGAUGAGGUAUCCGCGUUUGUUUUGAAGUCUCAGGAUUCUUAAGACAGUGGUUUCCAGAGAUCUUUCCCACCCAGAAUCCCUUGCUUAAAUUUUUGUUUGAAGUACCAUCCUAAGGCUCAGACCGUGCACUUUGUACAGGACAGGAAUUGUGCGUUCUGUUUUUAAAAGGACGGGGCUUUGAAGAGCAGCUCUGGUCACUCUCGGGGCCCGACCCCAGGCCUGGGAACUGUCAGACAACACCUGUUGUCGAGCAGAGCUCUCACCACAGCGGUGCUGUGGUCACCCGAUCUUAGCUCUUCUGCCAUCCCGUUGAACACGUGA